rnacentral:tRNA from 1 species
GCGGGUAUCGUAUAAUGGCUAUUAUGCCACCUUGCCAAGGUGGAGAUACGGGUUCAAUUCCCGUUACUCGCUCCA